AACGAACGCUGGCGGCAUGCCUAACACAUGCAAGUCGAACGAACCCUUCGGGGUUAGUGGCGCACGGGUGCGUAACACGUGGGAAUCUGCCCUUUGCUUCGGAAUAACAGUUAGAAAUGACUGCUAAUACCGGAUGAUGUCGUAAGACCAAAGAUUUAUCGGCAAAGGAUGAGCCCGCGUAGGAUUAGCUAGUUGGUGGGGUAAAGGCCUACCAAGGCGACGAUCCUUAGCUGGUCUGAGAGGAUGAUCAGCCACACUGGGACUGAGACACGGCCCAGACUCCUACGGGAGGCAGCAGUGGGGAAUAUUGGACAAUGGGCGAAAGCCUGAUCCAGCAAUGCCGCGUGAGUGAUGAAGGCCUUCGGGUUGUAAAGCUCUUUUACCAGGGAUGAUAAUGACAGUACCUGGAGAAUAAGCUCCGGCUAACUCCGUGCCAGCCGCCGCCGUAACAC
rnacentral:rRNA from 1 species